GCUUAGAAGCAGCCACUCAUUUAAAGAGUGCGUAAUAGCUCACUGGUCGAGUGAUCCUGCGCCGAAAAUUUCCGGGGCUAAAACGUACUACCGAAGCUACGGCAUCAUUUAUGAUGGGUAGGGGAGCUUCGUAUGCAGGCUGAAGCAUGACCGUAAGGACAUGUGGACAGUAUACGAGUGAGAAUGUUGGCAUGAGUAGCGAGACGUGGGUGAGAAUCCCACGGGCCGUAAACCCAAGGUUUCCAGGGGAAGGUUCGUCCGCCCUGGGUUAGUCGGGACCUAAGCCGAGGCCGAAAGGCGUAGGUGAUGGACAACAGGUUGAUAUUCCUGUACCGCCAAUAAGCGUUUGAGAGAUGGAGUGACACAGUAGGAUAAGCUAACCGUACUGUUGGUUAUGUACGGCUAAGCAUUGAGGCAGUCUAAAUAGGCAAAUCCGUUUAGACAAUGCUAGGAUGUGAUGGGGAAGCCCUUCGGGGCGAAGUAGCUGAUUUCACACUGUCAAGAAAAGCUUCUAUCGAGUUUAAAGGCGCCCGUACCGUAAACCGACACAGGUGGGUGAGGAGAGUAUCCUAAGGCCAGCGAGAGAACUAUUGUUAAGGAACUCGGCAAAAUGACCCCGUAACUUAGGGAGAAGGGGUGCCUGUCUAUGACAGGCCGCAGAGAAUAGGCCCAAGCGACUGUUUACCAAAAACACAGGUUUCUGCUAAGUCGCAAGACGAUGUAUAGGAGCUGACGCCUGCCCGGUGCUGGAAGGUUAAGGGGAUCUGUUAGAGCAAUCGAAGCAGUGAACUUAAGCCCCAGUAAACGGCGGCCGUAACUAUAACGGUCCUAAGGUAGCGAAAUUCCUUGUCGGGUAAGUUCCGACCCGCACGAAAGGCGUAACGAUUUGGGCACUGUCUCAACAAUAGACUCGGUGAAAUUGUAAUCCCGGUGAAGAUGCCGGGUACCUGCGACAGGACGGAAAGACCCCAUGGAGCUUUACUGUAGCUUGACGUUGGGUCUUGGUACUACAUGUACAGGAUAGGUGGGAGACUAUGAAGCAUGGACGCCAGUCUGUGUGGAGUCAUCCUUGGGAUACCACCCUUGUAGUACUGGGAUCCUAACCAUAGGCCUUGAAUCAGGUCUUGGAACACCGUCAGGUGGGCAGUUUGACUGGGGCGGUCGCCUCCUAAAAAGUAACGGAGGCGCUCAAAGGUUUCCUCAGCACGGUCGGAAAUCGUGCGAAGAGUGUAAAGGCAAAAGGAAGCUUGAUUGCAAGACAUACAGGUCGAGCAAGGACGAAAGUCGGACUUAGUGAUCCGGUGGUACCGCAUGGAAGGGCCAUCGCUCAACGGAUAAAAGCUACCCUGGGGAUAACAGGCUUAUCUCCCCCAAGAGUUCACAUCGACGGGGAGGUUUGGCACCUCGAUGUCGGCUCAUCGCAUCCUGGAGCUGAAGUCGGUUCCAAGGGUUGGGCUGUUCGCCCAUUAAAGCGGUACGCGAGCUGGGUUCAGAACGUCGUGAGACAGUUCGGUCCCUAUCUGUCGUGGGCGCAGGAAAUUUGAGAAGAGCUGUCCUCAGUACGAGAGGACCGGGAUGGACGCAUCAAUGGUGGACCAGUUGUCACGCCAGUGGCAUAGCUGGGUAGCUAAAUGCGGAAGGGAUAAACGCUGAAGGCAUCUAAGUGUGAAACCCACUUCAAGAUGAGAUUUCCCAUUGC
rnacentral:rRNA from 1 species